rnacentral:rRNA from 1 species
GAUGAACGCUAGCGGCGUGCCUAAUACAUGCAAGUCGAACGGAGAGUUAGCAAUAACUCUUAGUGGCGAACGGGUGAGUAACGCGUUGGUGACCUACCCCAAAGUGUGGGAUAACAGACCGAAAGGUCUGCUAAUACCUCAUGUGGUCAAGAAAGUUAGAUUAUUUUGACUAAAGCAGUAAUGCGCUUUGGGAUGGGCCUGCGUCCCAUCAGCUAGUUGGUAAGGUAAUGGCUUACCAAGGCGACGACGGGUAGGGGGCCUGAGAGGGUGGCCCCCCACACUGGUACUGAAACACGGACCAGACACCUGCGGGUGGCAGCAGUAGGGAAUAUUGGUCAAUGGACGAAAGUCUGAACCAGCAACGCCGCGUGUGCGAUGAAGGCCUUCGGGUCGUAAAGCACUUUUCUGUGGGAAGAGAAAGGACGGUACCACAGGAAUAAGUCUCGGCUAACUACGUG